rnacentral:rRNA from 1 species
UGGGGAAUUUUGGACAAUGGGGGAAACCCUGAUCCAGCCAUCCCGCGUGUGCGAUGAAGGCCUUCGGGUUGUAAAGCACUUUUGGCAGGAAAGAAACGUCGCGGGUUAAUACCCCGCGAAACUGACGGUACCUGCAGAAUAAGCACCGGCUAACUACGUGCCAGCAGCCGCGGUAAUACGUAGGGUGCAAGCGUUAAUCGGAAUUACUGGGCGUAAAGCGUGCGCAGGCGGUUCGGAAAGAAAGAUGUGAAAUCCCAGAGCUUAACUUUGGAACUGCAUUUUUAACUACCGGGCUAGAGUGUGUCAGAGGGAGGUGGAAUUCCGCGUGUAGCANGAAUGCAGUCAGAUAUGCGGAGGAACACCGAUGGCGAAGGCAGCCUCCUGGGAUAACACUGACGCUCAUGCACGAAAGCGUGGGGAGCAAACAGGAUUAGAUACCCUGGUAGUCCACGCCCUAAACGAUGUCAACUAGCUGUUGGGGCCUUCGGGCCUUGGUAGCGCAGCUAACGCGUGAAGUUGACCGCCUGGGGAGUACGGUCGCAAGAUUAAAACUCAAAUGAAUUGACGGGGUCGA